rnacentral:rRNA from 1 species
CCUACGGGAGGCAGCAGUGGGGGAUAUUGCACAAUGGGGGAAACCCUGAUGCAGCGACGCCGCGUGUGGGAAGACGGUCCUCUGGAUUGUAAACCACUGUCCCCAGGGACGAAGAUGACGGUACCUGGGGAGGAAGCUCGGCCAACUACGGUCCAGCAGCCGCGGUAAUACCUAGGGAGCGAGCGUUUGCCGGAAUUACUGGGGGUAAAGGGAGCGUAGGCGGGGAUGCAAGUUGGGUGUCAAAACUACCGGCUCAACUGGUAGUCGCACUCAAAACUGCAGCUCUUGAGUGAAGUAGAGGCAGGCGGAAUUCCUAGUGUAGCGGUGAAAUGCGUAGAUAUUAGGAGGAACACCAGUGGCGAAGGCGGCCUGCUGGGCUUUUACUGACGCUGAGGCUCGAAAGUGUGGGGAGCAAACAGGAUUAGAUACCCCUGUAGUC